rnacentral:rRNA from 1 species
AUACGGAGGAUGCAAGCGUUAUCCGGAUUUAUUGGGUUUAAAGGGUGCGUAGGCGGUUUGCUAAGCGGGAGGUGAAAUGCCGGCGCUCAACGUCGGAAGUGCCUCCCGAACUGGUGGACUGGAAUGACUCUGCCGUGGGAGGAAUGUGUAGUGUAGCGGUGAAAUGCUUAGAGAUUACACAGAACACCGAUUGCGAAGGCAUCUCACGAAGGGUUGAUUGACGCUGAGGCACGAAAGCGUGGGGAUCAAACAGGAUUAGAUACCCUGGUAGUCCACGCAGUAAACGAUGAUGGCUAACCGCUGGUUUAUUCGGAUCAGUGGCCAAGCGAAAGCGAUAAGCCAUCCACCUGGGGAGUACGACCGCAGGGUUGAAACUCAAAUGAAUUGACGGGG